GUGCCAGCAGCCGCGGUAAUACGAAGGUCCCAAGCGUUAUCCGGAUUUAUUGGGUUUAAAGGGUGCGUAGGCGGACUAUUAAGUCAGUGGUGAAAGCCCCCAGCCUAACUGGGGAACUGCCAUUGAUACUGAUGGUCUUGAGUACAUUUGAGGUGGGCGGAAUGUGUCAUGUAGCGGUGAAAUGCUUAGAUAUGACACAGAACACCGAUUGCGAAGGCAGCUCACUAAACUGUAACUGACGCUGAGGCACGAAAGCGUGGGGAGCAAACAGGAUUAGAUACCCGGGUAGUCC
rnacentral:rRNA from 1 species